UACGUAGGGUCCGAGCGUUGUCCGGAAUUACUGGGCGUAAAGAGCUCGUAGGUGGUUUGUCGCGUUGUUCGUGAAAACUCACAGCUCAACUGUGGGCGUGCGGGCGAUACGGGCAGACUUGAGUACUGCAGGGGAGACUGGAAUUCCUGGUGUAGCGGUGGAAUGCGCAGAUAUCAGGAGGAACACCGGUGGCGAAGGCGGGUCUCUGGGCAGUAACUGACGCUGAGACGCGAAAGCGUGGGGAGCGAACCGG
rnacentral:rRNA from 1 species